GACGAACGCUGGCGGCGUGCUUAACACAUGCAAGUCGAGCGGUAAGGCCCUUUCGGGGGUACACGAGCGGCGAACGGGUGAGUAACACGUGGGUGACCUGCCCUCAGCUCUGGGAUAAGCCUGGGAAACCGGGUCUAAUACCGGAUAUGACUCCAUGACGCAUGUUGUGGGGUGGAAAGCCUUGUGCGGCUGAGGAUGGGCCCGCGGCCUAUCAGCUUGUUGUGGGGUGANGGCCUACCAAGGCGACGACGGGUAGCCGGCCUGAGAGGGCGACCGGCCACACUGGGACUGAGACACGGCCCAGACUCCUACGGGAGGCAGCAGUGGGGAAUCUUGCGCAAUGGGCGAAAAGCCUGACGCAGCGACGCCGCGUGAGGGAUGACGGCCU
rnacentral:rRNA from 1 species